rnacentral:rRNA from 1 species
CCUACGGGAGGCAGCAGUGGGGGAUAUUGGACAAUGGGGGGAACCCUGAUCCAGCGACGCCGCGUGAGUGAAGAAGUAUUUCGGUAUGUAAAGCUCUGUCAGCAGGGAAGAAAGAAAUGACGGUACCUGACCAAGAAGCCCCGGCUAACUACGUGCCAGCAGCCGCGGUAAUACGUAGGGGGCAAGCGUUAUCCGGAAUUACUGAGUGUAAAGGGAGCGUAGACGGUUAAGUAAGUCUGGAGUGAAAGGCCGGGGCGCAACCCCGGGACUGCUCUGGAAACUAUUGAACUUGAGUGCAGGAGAGGUAAGCGGAAUUCCUAGUGUAGCGGUGAAAUGCGUAGAUAUUAGGAGGAACACCAGUGGCGAAGGCGGCUUACUGGACUGUAACUGACGUUGAGGCUCGAAAGCGUGGGGAGCAAACAGGAUUAGAUACCCCUGUAGUC